rnacentral:rRNA from 1 species
CACGCCGUAAACGAUGAGUGCUAGGUGUUGGGGGUCGAACCUCAGUGCCGCAGCUAACGCAUUAAGCACUCCGCCUGGGGAGUACGGUCGCAAGACUGAAACUCAAAGGAAUUGACGGGGACCCGCACAAGUAGCGGAGCAUGUGGUUUAAUUCGAAGCAACGCGAAGAACCUUACCAAGGCUUGACAUCCCUCUGACCGCACUAGAGAUAGUGCUUCUCUUCGGAGCAGAGGUGACAGGUGG